rnacentral:tRNA from 1 species
GCCUCUGUAGCUCAGUUGGUUAGAGCGCUGCACCAGAAUCACGGGCCCGUAGGUUCAAUUCCUACCAGAGGAC